CGAGUAGCGGCUUAAAGGAUUCACUGCAAUCACCGCCAAAGAUUGAGACCAAUUGAGAGCAAUUGCCUGACAAGUAAAAUCAAGGUACAUUAUCAAAGGCAGGAGCCGCAGGACUGCAUCAAUUGCACAAGGAAGUGCCAACUUUGUCAGUGAUGGAAAUAUGGCGUCAUUUCACUCGGAGAAAUGUUGAA